rnacentral:rRNA from 1 species
CGGAGCUCGCCGUCCCCAUUGAGUUUUAUACCGGUUCUCUGGUCGUUCUGCUGGGCAGGAUUCGACAAUGAUCCUUCCGUAGGUGAACCUGCGGAAGGAUCAUUG